AAUUCAUGGUGGUGACACUUCUAAAGUAAUUCUUCAAAUCUUUUGUAAGCCUCAUAAAUGGACUCACCAUCUAUUUUCAUAAAUAAAGUGAUAUCAUUUUUAAGUUU